rnacentral:rRNA from 1 species
ACUCACAGAAGAAGCACCGGCUAACUCCGUGCCAGCAGCCGCGGUAAUACGGAGGGUGCAAGCGUAAUCGGAAUUACUGGGCGUAAAGCGCGCGUAGGUGGUUGAGUAAGCGAGAUGUGAAAGCCCCGGGCUCAACCUGGGAACGGCACUUCGAACUGCUCGGCUAGAGUGUGGUAGAGGGUAGUGGAAUUUCCUGUGUAGCGGUGAAAUGCGUAGAUAUAGGAAGGAACACCAGUGGCGAAGGCGGCUACCUGGACCAACACUGACACUGAGGUGCGAAAGCGUGGGGAGCAAACAGGAUUAGAUACCCUGGUAGUCCACGCCGUAAACGAUGUCAACUAGCCGUUGGGGAUCUUGAAUCCUUAGUGGCGCAGCUAACGCACUAAGUUGACCGCCUGGGGAGUACGGCCGCAAGGUUAAAACUCAAAUGAAUUGACGGGGGCCCGCACAAGCGGUGGAGCAUGUGGUUUAAUUCGACGCAACGCGAAGAACCUUACCUGGCCUUGACAUGCUGAGAACUUUCCAGAGAUGGAUUGGUGCCUUCGGGAACUCAGACACAGGUGCUGCAUGGCCGUCGUCAGCUCGUGUCGUGAGAUGUUGGGUUAAGUCCCGUAACGAGCGCAACCCCUAUCCCUAGUUGCUAGCAGUUCGGCUGAGAACUCUAGGGAGACUGCCGGUGACAAACCGGAGGAAGGUGGGGAUGACGUCAGGUCAUCAUGGCCCUUACGGCCAGGGCUACACACGUGCUACAAUGGCGCGCACAGAGGGCUGCAAACCCGCGAGGGGGAGCCAAUCUCACAAAACGCGUCGUAGUCCGGAUCGGAGUCUGCAACUUGACUCCGUGAAGUCGGAAUCGCGAGUAAUCGUGAAUCUGAAGGUCAAUCCGAAUUCGGUCGCGGCAAGGUAGCCCUAGAGUUUGAUCCUGCCUCAGUCGUAACAAGGUAGCCGUAGAGUUUGAUCCUGGCUCAGUCGUAACAA